AGGUGUUGCAACAUAACAGUUUUAAUUGCUAAACCCUAGCUGCAAACCCAAAUCUCUGGAUUUAAUAAGAAUUGGGUGUGAAAGACUGUGAACAGUGGCAGUUUUCUGCUAGGUUUACCUUCUUUCCUGCUCUUGGUUGAGAUUUGCGGACCUUUGUAUCCACUGUGGUCUCCUUGGAACAAGCAACUGGAAAUUCUUCACACCAGCUAUGGCUGGUAGGAAUUUCGGGCCACAACUCAGGCUUCCAGACUCUGGACGGUAUUCCCAGACUCAGCUCCCUUCUGAAUUGGGAGAAAGAGAGAAAGGAAAAUACAAGAAGACCUAACCAUGUGGAUUAACACCCUAUAGCAUGAUCCAGGCCCACAGCCAGCUCUGUGUUUCCAGAGUCAUAAUGGUGAAGAGGAUGGUGACAUCCAAGGACAACUACAGGGCCUCUCUCCUGACACUGGCUGGAAUGCACUGGCGCAAUCGCAGCUCACUGCAGCAUCAACCACCUCAAGCAAUUCUCCCACCUCGUCCUCCUAAGUAGCUGGGACUAUAGACGCACAUCACCAUGCCCUGCUAAUUUUUGUAUUUUUUUGUAGGGAUGGCGGUGAGGGUUGG